GAUGAACGCUGGCGGCGUGCCUAAUACAUGCAAGUCGAACGAACGGACGAGAAGCUUGCUUCUCUGAUGUUAGCGGCGGACGUGUGAGUCACACGUGGAUCCCCUCCCUAUAAGUCUGGGAUCACUUCGGGACACCGGCGCUAAUACCGGAUAAUAUUUUGCACCGCAUGGUUGAAAAGUGAAAGACGGUCUUGCUGUCACUUAUAGCUGGAUCCGCGCUGCAUUAGCUAGUUGGUAAGGUAACGGCUUACCAAGGCAACGAUGCAUAGCCGACCUGAGAGGGUGAUCGGCCACACUGGAACUGAGACACGGUCCAGACUCCUACGGGAGGCAGCAGUAGGGAAUCUUCCGCAAUGGGCGAAAGCCUGACGGAGCAACGCCGCGUGAGUGAUGAAGGUCUUCGGAUCGUAAAACUCUGUUAUUAGGGAAGAACAGAUGUGUAAGUAACUGUGCACAGCUUGACGGUACCUAAUCAGAAAGCCACGGCUAACUACGUG
rnacentral:rRNA from 1 species